CCUACGGGAGGCAGCAGUGGGGAAUAUUGCACAAUGGGCGGAAGCCUGAUGCAGCAACGCCGCGUGCGGGAUGACGGCCUUCGGGUUGUAAACCGCUUUCGCCUGUGACGAAGCGUGAGUGACGGUAAUGGGUAAAGAAGCACCGGCUAACUACGUGCCAGCAGCCGCGGUGAUACGUAGGGUGCGAGCGUUGUCCGGAUUUAUUGGGCGUAAAGGGCUCGUAGGUGGUUGAUCGCGUCGGAAGUGUAAUCUUGGGGCUUAACCCUGAGCGUGCUUUCGAUACGGGUUGACUUGAGGAAGGUAGGGGAGAAUGGAAUUCCUGGUGGAGCGGUGGAAUGCGCAGAUAUCAGGAGGAACACCAGUGGCGAAGGCGGUUCUCUGGGCCUUUCCUGACGCUGAGGAGCGAAAGCGUGGGGAGCGAACAGGCUUAGAUACCCUGGUAGUCCACGCUGUCAACGGUCCGUACUAG
rnacentral:rRNA from 1 species